GUGCCCACAUUGGCAGCACACGUACUAAAAUUGGAAUGAUACAGAGAUUAGCGUGAUCCCUGCACAAGGAUGACACGCAAAUUUGCGAAAUGUUCCAUAGUUUU